rnacentral:rRNA from 1 species
CCUACGGGAGGCAGCAGUGAGGAAUAUUGGUCAAUGGCCGGAAGGCUGAACCAGCCAUGCCGCGUGAAGGGCAGAGGCCUACGGGCGUUAAACUUCUUUUGUGCGGGAGCAAUAAUGGUCACGUGUGGCCAGACGAGAGUACCGUACGAAUAAGCAUCGGCUAACUCCGUGCCAGCAGCCGCGGUAAUACGGGGGAUGCGAGCGUUAUCCGGAGUUAUUGGGGUUAAAGGGUGCGCAGGCGGAGGCACAAGUCAGCGGUAAAAUCGCGGGGCUCAACCCCGCUCCGCCGUUGAAACUGUGUCCCUUGAGUGCGCGACGGGUAGGCGGAAUGCGUGGUGUAGCGGUGAAAUGCAUAGAUAUCACGCAGAACUCCGAUCGCGAAGGCAGCCUACCGGCGCGCAACUGACGCUCAUGCACGAAAGCGUGGGUAUCGAACAGGAUUAGAUACCCCAGUAGUC